AGUCUUAUAUUCAUAUUAUUAAUGAUUAUAGAAUGCAAUUCUGUAGGAGUAAAUUAGUUUACUAAGGCUU
rnacentral:tRNA from 1 species